rnacentral:rRNA from 1 species
UACGUAGGGCGCGAGCGUUGUCCGGAUUUAUUGGGCGUAAAGAGCUCGUAGGCGGCUUGUCGCGUCGGCUGUGAAAUCCCGUGGCUCAACUGCGGGUCUGCAGCCGAUACGGGCAGGCUAGAGUUCGGUAGGGGAGACUGGAAUUCCUGGUGUAGCGGUGAAAUGCGCAGAUAUCAGGAGGAACACCGAUGGCGAAGGCAGGUCUCUGGGCCGAUACUGACGCUGAGGAGCGAAAGCGUGGGGAGCGAACAGG